UGUCUUGUUCCUCGAUUCUCUCUCCUAACCAAUGCCUCCCUCAACAAGGCGCACUGAGGAAGAAAGAGCUUCCUUGUUGUGGACGAAUGACAAUGAAAGAGCAAGAGAAGAAGGGAGAGAGAGUUUUUCAAGAAGGGAGGACCACAGGCAGAGACUGAGGAAAAAUGGUUCUAGCUGUUCUUCAUACUAUUCUGCUUCUUCAACAGGUGACCUUGAUUUUGACAGUGAACUGCAGAUUGAGGAUGAACAUUUUGAAGAAGAAUUGUCAAGGAAACAUGGAAGAGAUUUGAGGAGUGAAGGUGUUUCAGUGGAGGAAAGAGAUCGGAAUUACACUGCUAAACAAGGGGUUGUUUCACGGAAGAAUGAUUCUGCAGUGGGAUUGUAUAGUGCAACUGGUGACUG
rnacentral:misc_RNA from 1 species